UGACAUACAGUCCAGCUAGGUGUAUUGUAAUUAACCGGCGCUGCAACACCUGGUCAGUUUAUUUUAGCCACCUGCUGCUUUGAAAAACUGCUGUUACAAACAAUUUCAACACAGCUGCCCUUGCUCACACAACAUCUCAGAAGUUAGUAUACCUGUCAGAGAGUUCGCGUACGCUGCUUUUUCUAGGCUAAGUGGAAGGAACUUUGUUUACCUGACCGCACUCCAUCUUCUGGGAAUAUUAGCUUUGUCCGUUAGCAACAACUGCAGUUCGGGGAUGAACCACACCUGCUAACAGCUCGGGAUCACAACUUGUAGCUACAAAAGGAUUUAAUUUUUCACUCCGCUAAGAUGACUCGAUCACUGCCUCAGUUCACCAGGCUAAGGAAAACACGACCAAACCACUGCCCUGUUAUUGAAGUGAGUCCUACACUGAAGACUUAAUGUCACCCCAUAUAAGCAGUUGCACAAUGAGGAGUGCAUGCUACAAUCUAUCAGCCGCCCUGCUGGAGGAGAGCACUGCAGUGAGCCCCCCCACCUGCCUGGGAGCUCCCGCAGUGGAUUCCCCACAGACCAAGCCAGCCGACGCCCCCUUGGUUACCUGCAACAGCCUGUCUCCUCAUGUCAGCUCGGAGCUGUGCAGCCCAGCUUGAAGGCUUCAUCCCUGGAUUCCCAAUAAGAGGAUGGCAGUGUGCAUGUGUGCACAUCUAUCAGGUUGGUGUACAGGCUCCUGUCAGGCAGUAAACAAUUUGUCAGGCGGUGCUGAGUCUGGACGAUGUCAGACUGGAGUUGAUGUGAGAGCAAAGGCCGUGACGUGGCUGAGAUAUUU